CUAGUUUUCGGUCACGUGACAUGUACCCCUAUUGAAACUGCAGAAAUGGAUAAGUUUGAUUUUUGGUCCUCUAGGGCCACACGGCGAAGCACAUUGA